UUAAUAUUAUAUGAACAUGCAGUUUGAUAAAUGAUAUUUGAAAUUUGUUGCCCAGAAUGUGGAAAAUCAAAAGCACGAAAAGCAAGAAUACGUUUAUUUAAUUGCCAAUCAUUAUCAAUAUAAUGAGCAGUAAUGGCAAUAAAACAAUUACUACCUACAGAUGCUGACCAAAUAUCAGAAGUUAAUAAAAUUUUUACAUUUAAAGUAGAAAGUGUUUCAAUUAAACUUUGUUUCAUUGCUAAAAAGUUAGUCAUAGCUACUCUUCUAAAUGUACGCCUACUAGUUCUUUUGUAAGCAGGUUGUAGGUUUAAUUGAACAUAUUCUUCAAAAUUAAAAGAUUCACAUAAACUAAAAGGUAAUUCAUCCUUAACUAUCCAUUUUACAAGUGCUUUUCUUUGAUUUUCUUGAUUAUAUGCAAAAUUACCUACAAGUAAUCCCCCUUGUAUAUUAAGGGUACUUUGAGUUUGAGCAUGAAAAUCAUGCAUCCUAUGACUCUCUUGAUGUCUUUUUAAAUGCCCUGUUCCCCCACUGCUACUACAACUAUAAAGUUUGGCACAUUUUUUACAUUUAGCUUUCCAGACUCCAUCAACCAUAACUCUAUCAAAUUCAUUCCAUACAGCACUAGUCCUCUUACGAGAAGAGGUUUGAUCUUCACUCGGUUCACUAGUUCUAGAGGAACUAGGAACAUGGGGUUGGGGAUUAGUUUCUUCUCCCUCAGAAACAGGAGGAAUGCCAAAAUGACUUUCCUCAAAAGAUGACAUAUCUAAAUUGAUGAAUUCAAAAAAUAAAAACUAACCACAAGGAGAAAUUGAGUAAAGGGUCGGAGGGCAGAGGCAGAGCUGAGAUUCUGAGCUUCCUCUUGUGCUCUCAACAGGAGUGACCUUCUCUUCUCGACAGGAACCUCCUCUUGUGUAGCACUUGAACACUUGCUAAAUGCAAACUAAAAAUUAAAUUGCUAGAAGAGCACUUUAGAAGAGAGAAAUAAUAGUAGUAGAGAAGGAGAGAAUAGUUGGUUUGGUGUGGUGAGAAUGAGGGAGGAAAGGGCUAUUUAUAGAAGCCCAAAUUUUUUUUUUCCAAAAUACCCCUCAAU
rnacentral:lncRNA from 1 species